AAUCAACGCUGGCGGCGUGCCUCAGACAUGCAAGUUGAACGAUUAAAGCUCUCUUCGGAGAGUGCAUAAAGUGGCGCACGGGUGAGUAACACGUAAGUAAUCUACCCUCGAGUGGGGAAUAACGUCCGGAAACGGACGCUAAUACCGCAUAACGCAGCGGCACCGCAAGGUGACAGUUGUUAAAGGAGAAAUUCGCUUGAGGAGGAGCUUGCGGCAGAUUAGCUUGUUGGUAAGGUAACGGCUUACCAAGGCUACGAUCUGUAACCGGUCUAAGAGGACGGUCGGUCACACUGACACUGAAUAACGGGUCAGACUCCUACGGGAGGCAGCAGUCGGGAAUUUUUGGGCAAUGGGGGAAACCCUGACCCAGCAACGCCGCGUGAAGGAUGAAGUAUUUCGGUAUGUAAACUU
rnacentral:rRNA from 1 species